rfam:Burkholderia glumae BGR1 chromosome 1, complete sequence.
CGCGUUGUUCAGCCAGGCCGAACUCGACCGCCGUUUCAAGCCCUGAAGCCUUCAUCGAUCAACAAUCGCGACACCUGCGGAGGCGAGUCGAUCUGCAAAGUCUUGCGGAUUGUCCCU